GGAUGGGAGCUGCCUCCAGCAAGACGGGGUUCACUGCAGAGGAUCCCCCAACACAGAGCAGCUGCCUGUGCACACACCCACCUCCCCUCGCUGCACUCUCUGAGCAUCCCCCGUUCUUAAUUCUCUGUCACUGGCCUCUGGACAUCUGCUCUGUUAUGCCUUUACUUCUUAGCUGAGUCUCUCCAGGUACUCAGUGAAUAUGUUGAUUGAAUGAAUGAAUGAAUGAAUGGGGGAAGAUGACUUGACUACAUUGAUUUAUUGAAUUAAGUGUGCCUGCUACAUCAUCUCAGACACAUGCAGGGUAACCCCUCGAGGUGGCUCCGUUGUUAUCCCGAUGCCUGCCUCCUUGACCUUGCAACAGGAAUAGCACUUCCCCAUGUUGUUAAACAUUGGCGAGCCAGAAUUUUUCUUCCUUUAACGUAUAUAAGAACAUUCCAGAACCUGCUCGAUAUACUCCUUAACACUUAGAAUAGCUUGCCCGGGAAUUGCUGGGGUGUAGAAGAUACCCACAGGUAGCUUACUCUGGAACUGCCAGGGCGUGUCCUAGGGCGGCCCAUGAGCCCACCGUCCCAUCAGCAGGGCACGGGUUCCGGUAUCUGCACCCGCCCCUGGCACUCAGCAUCGCAGUGCCUGCUCAUUUGAGCCAAGCUAAUAGGUGUCAGGAAUGUCUCAGCAGUUUUUAUUGGCAUUGCUGUGAUUGCUCAUGAGGCCCUGGACCGCUGCGCUUGCCCUGCCCUCAGCUUGGCCCCUCUCCCGCCCCGGACUCACUCUCUCUUCUGCGCGUCUUUCAAGAUUCAGGACAGACAUUUGUCCCUGCAGUGGGCUCUGGUGCCCGGCCUCUCCCCUCUGCUCCGCAGGCCGCCCUUCCAGAAUAGCAGCUAAAGGCAUGUUUUCAGGUCUGGAAGCUCAUAUGGCUGUGAUCAAAGCCUGUUCCAUCACCUACAGGCUGAGAAACCUCAACCAAGGGCCUUAACUAAGUCUCUGAGCCUCAGAGUCCUCACCUGCAAAUGAGGGGUUAAAAAUAGUACUCCCCCCCCCCAGGGUUGGAGUGGGAGUACAAAAAAAAAAAGGAAAAAGCUUAAUUCUGAGCGGUGGGGAUACAGACUGUCACCUGCCUCCCCCAGCCCCACUCUCUUUUCUACUUCUACUAGUUGUAAUUACAGUGUAAGCCUCUGCCGCCCCCCCCAAAAAAAAAUCUCCUGGGAGAGAAUUUUCUUGACAAUUUCCUGAGCUUAUUUAUGCCAAGUAUUUGGCGUACAGCAGGGCUGAAUUCACGGUAGCCACUGGGUUUCAGCGCCCAUGCGGUCCUGCGUUGCCAUCAGACCGGCUUCCACAGCCUGGAAGGAGUCGCGGGUGGAGCUGGAUUUGCUGCAUUUUUAUAUUUUCAGCUCCUGGCAGUGUUGGGUAGAUAGAAAGCCCUGGAACAAAUCUUGUCAGCCUCUCUGGAGGAGAUUUAAGCAUCAAAUAGUGGGUUGGUCUAGAUGCUUUUUCAAAGUCUCUUCCAGCCCUGAAAUUCUGUGAUCAGGAAAUUACCCAGGAAAAAGUUCCCUUUGCAGGCUUCUUUCUAAGGUUUCUAAAUGGGGCUUUAUUACACACUGCAGGUAAUUAUAGAGGCUGAAGCGGCCUCAAGGAGCUCUGUGUGGCCUGGUGUCGCUGGUUGGUACAUUUCAGAGGCUAUCAUCUUUCCGCUGACCAGGGGAUCGGAAUCCUGACCAGGGGAUCGGAAUCCUGGCAAAGGCAGGCCCUCUCUUCAGCAGGGCAGUGGGAGGUGGCCCCGGAGGACGCGUCCUCUAGCUGGCAGCCCUCCACUCUCUGCUCCAGGGGAAGCCAGCACUAGUGGUGUGUGAAUAAUAUCAGGAAAGUCACAGAAAGCAGGAGCAAAGGAGACCUUGGGGACACCCAGUUCAGGAGGCACAACCUCUCUGUUCACAAGGACCGUGUGGGUUAUAUGAACAGAUAAAGAGACCUGGGUAGGGCAAUAGGGAGUAGUGGGGCCUGUGACAGACUAGAAAACUGAUCAGUUUCUGCUCAGCCCCUGGGGUUGUUGGUUUGGGGAACAUGGGCUCAGGGUUCCUGGAUCUGCCCCUGCUUUACCAAAAGAAGAGCUAGAGGUCCAGGGUUUUAUGUAGCUCUUUCUGAUUUUUGAAAGUUAGAGCUAAUUCAAAGUUUUGUCAGUCGGGGUAUGGCGCAGACAAAAUAGGCUUGCGAGGCUUGUGAGUUUCCAUAUCCUCUGAUUUAGCAUGACAUUUGGCAGAUUGGGAAACUGAGGUACAGAAUGGGGGAAUUUGGCAAAGUUUCCUGGGGAGGCUUUGACCUUGAGGGACAUAAAGAAUGGUCUGGCAUCCCAGGGGGCUCCUAACCCCACCUUCUCCCAAGGCAGGACCUGAGGCCCAGAGAGGGAAGGAGGCUAGCUCUGUGUCACACAGCUGGUAAUGGCAGAGUCUGGGGUAGGGCUGGGGCUUCUGGGCCCUCCUCCAUGGGACUGUCCACCAACGGUACUGCCAGAAAUGACCCUGGAAUGGUUUUGGUAAAGAGCAUGGCAGAGGGCAAGUUCUGACUUGUCGUCAGGCAGCAGGAAAAGGCUGGCCCAUGAGAGGCAGCUAUGCCAGGGAACUCCCCCUGUGCGGGGGAUCUGUUUGUGCAUGCGCUGAACUAACCCUUUCAGCUCUGAAGGUGCACAGGUCAGCCUGGGGGUGGGGGGACAAGAGGUCUGGAAAAUGGAGAAGACAGUGGGGAGGAGGAAGGUGAAUCAUCCCCAAAAGACAUCAAGGGAGGGGGGUCACUGCGCCAUGGAGUGUGAGUAGGGUUGGCUGUCCAGUGAGAGGAAGCUGGAUUUUGCCCAGAGGGCUUUGGAUUGGCCAAGGGGCCAGUGUAGAAAUGCCCACUGUGGGCUCCCUGUCUCUAAAACUCUGGGAGAGCCCAAGCUUGAAGAGAAGGCCUCAAACCCUGGACCCGAAAGGCAGGGUCUUGGCAGGCAGACCCUGCGAUGUCCGGACCCCAUGUCACUCCCAACAGUGCAGGACCUCGCCAGCCCCCCACCCCAUCCAUUCCAGCCUCGCUCAUCUGCUCAGAGGCCAGGGCUUCAGAGGUCGGUCAGCGUGGUUAUCCUUCAAAUCCCAACAUGUAGGAAAUGUCUCUUUGCUGCUUGAAUCACUCCGAUGGGUAGUGAGGUUGAACCGUUCUUUAUAGUGCAGGGGUCACCUGCAUUCCUUUUGUGUUGAUUUGCCUUUCAUGUCCUUUCCGCAUUUAAAAAAGAAAGAUUACUUCAAGGCAUUUGAUCCCACAGAGCAGGG
rnacentral:lncRNA from 1 species